GAUGAACGCUGGCGGCGUGCCUAACACAUGCAAGUCGAGCGCGAUUAAGUGGAGUGAGGACUUCGGUCUAAGUGAAGCUUAUGAAAGCGGCGGACGGGUGAGUAACGCGUGGGUAACCUGCCCCAUACAAAGGGAUAGCCACUGGAAACGGUGAUUAAUACCUUAUAAGUCGGUAGUCUCGCAUGAGACAGCCGACAAAGAUUUAUCGGUAUGGGAUGGACCCGCGUCUGAUUAGCUAGUUGGUGAGGUAACGGCUCACCAAGGCGACGAUCAGUAGCCGACCUGAGAGGGUGAUCGGCCACACUGGAACUGAGACACGGUCCAGACUCCUACGGGAGGCAGCAGUGGGGAAUAUUGCACAAUGGGCGCAAGCCUGAUGCAGCAACGCCGCGUGAGUGAUGAAGGCUUUCGGGUCGUAAACUACUGUCCUAUGGGAGAAAAAAUGACGGUACCAUAGGAGGAAGCCCGGCUAACUACGUGCCAGCAGCCGACGG
rnacentral:rRNA from 1 species